UUAGAUGGGUAAGAUGGUUAGAAGGGUCAGAUGGGUAAGAUGGUUAGAAGGGUCCGAUGGUUAGAAGGGUUAGAUGGGUAAGAUGGUUAGAAGGGUCAGAUGGGUAAGAUGGUUAGAAGGGUAAAAAUGGAUUAGAUGGGUAAGAUGGUUUGAAGGGUCAGAUGGGUAAGAUGGUUAGAAGGGUCCGAUGGUUAGAAUGGUUAGAUGGGUAAGAUGGUUAGAUGGGUAAGAUGGUUAGAAGGGUCCGAUGGGUAAGAUGGUUAGAAGGCUCAGAUGGUUAGAAGGGUAAAAAUGGAUUAGAUGGUUAGAAGGGUCCGAUGGUUAGAAGGGUUAGAUGGGUAAGAUGGUUAGAAGGGUCAGAUGGGUAAGAUGGUUAGAAGGGUAAAAAUGGAUUAGAUGGGUAAGAUGGUUUGAAGGGUCAGAUGGUUAGAAGGGUAAAAAUGGAUUAGAUGGGUAAGAUGGUUUGAAGGGUCAGAUGGUUAGAAGGGUAAAAAUGGAUUAGAUGGGUAAAAUGGAUUAGAUGGGUAAGAUGGUUUGAAGGGUAAGAUGGUUAGAAGGGUCCGAUGGUUAGAAUGGUUAGAUGGGUAAGAUGGUUAGAUGGGUAAGAUGGUUAGAAGGGUCAUAUGGGUAAGAUGGUUAGAAGGGUCAGAUGGUUAGAAGGGUAAAAAUGGAUUAGAUGGUUAGAAGGGUCCGAUGGUUAGAAGGGUUAGAUGGGUAAGAUGGUUAGAAGGGUCAGAUGGGUAAGAUGGUUAGAAGGGUAAAAAUGGAUUAGAUGGGUAAGAUGGUUUGAAGGGUCAGAUGGUUAGAAGGGUAAAAAUGGAUUAGAUGGGUAAGAUGGUUUGAAGGGUCAGAUGGUUAGAAGGGUAAAAAUGGAUUAGAUGGGUAAAAUGGAUUAGAUGGGUAAGAUGGUUUGAAGGGUAAGAUGGUUAGAAGGGUCCGAUGGUUAGAAUGGUUAGAUGGGUAAGAUGGUUAGAUGGGUAAGAUGGUUAGAAGGGUCAGAUGGGUAAGAUGGUUAGAAGGGUCAGAUGAUUAGAAGGGUAAAAAUGGAUUAGAUGGGUAAAAUGGAUUAGAUGGGUAAGAUGGUUUGUAGGGUCAGAAGGGUGAAAAUGGAUUAGAUGGGUCAAAUGGAUUAGAUGGGUAAGAUGGUUUGAAGGGUAAGAUGGUUAGAAGGGUUAGAUGGGUUAGAUGGUCAGAAGGGUAAAAUGGUUAGAAUGGUAAAAUGGAUUAGAUGGGUUAGAAGGGUAAAUUGGUUAGAAGGCUAAAGUGAUUAGAAAGGUAAAAUGGGUUAAAAGGGUUAGAUGGAUUAGAAGGGUAAGAUGGUUAGAAGGGUAAAAUGGUUAGAAGGGUAAAAUGGAUUAGAUGGUCAGAAGGGUAAAAUUGUCAGAAGGGUAAAAUGGGUUAGAAGGAUUAGAUGGGUUAGAAGGGUAAAAUGGGUUAGAUGGAUUAGAAGGGUUAGAAUGGUCAGAUGGGUUAGAAGGUUUAGAUGGAUUAGAAGGGUUAGAAGUGUAAGGUGGGUAAGAUGGUUAGAAGGGUAAGAUGGUUAGAAGGGUAAAAUGGAUUAGAUGGGUUAGAAGGGUAAAAUGGUUAGAAGGAUAAAAUGGAUUAGAUGGGUUAGAAGGGUAAGAUGGUUAGAAGGGUAAAUGGAUUAGAUGGGUAAAAUGGAUUAGAUGGGUAAGAUGGUUUGAAGGGUCAGAUGGUUAGAAGGGUAAAAUGGAUUAGAUGGGUUAGAAGGGUAAAAUGGUUAGAAUGAUAAAAUGGAUUAGAUGGGUUAGAAGGGUAAGAUGGUUAGAAGGGUAAAUGGAUUAGAUGGGUAAAAUGGAUUAGAUGGGUAAGAUGGUUUGAAGGGUCAGAUGGUUAGAAGGGUAAAAUGGUUAGAAGGGUAAAAUGGAUUAGAUGGUCAGAAGGGUAAAAUUGUCAGAAGGGUAAAAUGGGUUAGAAGGAUUAGAUGGGUUAGAAGGGUAAAAUGGGUUAGAUGGAUUAGAAGGGUUAGAAUGGUCAGAUGGGUUAAAAGGUUUAGAUGGAUUAGAAGGGUUAGAAGUGUAAGAUGGGUAAGAUGGUUAGAAGGGUAAGAUGGUUAGAAGGGUAAAAUGGAUUGAAGGGUAAAAUGGAUUACAUGGGUUAGAAGGGUAAAAUGGUUAGAAGGAUAAAAUGGAUUAGAUGGGUUAGAUGGUUAGAAGGGUAAGAUGGUUAGAAGGGUAAAUGGAUUAGAUGGGUAAAAUGGAUUAGAUGGGUAAAAUGGUUUGAAGGGUAAGAUGGUUAGAAGGGUCCGAUGGUUAGAAGGGUUAGAUGGGUAAGAUGGUUAGAAGGGUCAGAUGGGUAAGAUGGUUAGAAGGGUCCGAUGGUUAGAAGGGUUAGAUGGGUAAGAUGGUUAGAAGGGUCAGAUGGUUAGAAGGGUAAAAAUGGAUUAGAUGGGUAAAAUGGUAAAAUGGUUAGAAGGAUAAAAUGGAUUAGAUGGGUUAGAUGGUUAGAUGGGUAAGAUGGUUUGAAGGGUCAGAUGGUUAGAAGGGUAAAAAUGGAUUAGAUGGGUAAAAUGGAUUAGAUGGGUAAGAUGGUUUGAAGGGUAAGAUGGUUAGAAGGGUCCGAUGGGUAAGAUGGUUAGAAGGGUCCGAUGGUUAGAAGGGUCAGAUGGAUAAGAUGGUUAGAAGGGUCAGAUGGUUAGAAGGGUAAAAAUGGAUUAGAUGGGUAAAAUGGUAAAAUGGUUAGAAGGAUAAAAUGGAUUAGAUGGGUUAGAUGGUUAGAAUGGUAAGAUGGUUAGAAGGGUAAAUGGAUUAGAUGGGUAAAAUGGAUUAGAUGGCUAAAAUGGUUUGAAGGGUAAGAUGGUUAGAAGGGUCCGAUGGUUAGAAGGGUUAGAUGGGUAAGAUGGUUAGAAGGGUCAGAUGGGUAAGAUGGUUAGAAGGGUAAAAAUGGAUUAGAUGGGUAAGAUGGUUUGAAGGGUCAGAUGGUUAGAAGGGUAAAAAUGGAUUAGAUGGGUAAGAUGGUUUGAAGGGUCAGAUGGUUAGAAGGGUAAAAAUGGAUUAGAUGGGUAAAAUGGAUUAGAUGGGUAAGAUGGUUAGAAGGGUCCGAUGGUUAGAAUGGUUAGAUGGGUAAGAUGGUUAGAUGGGUCCGAUGGUUAGAAGGGUCAGAUGGGUAAGAUGGUUAGAAGGGUCAGAUGGUUAGAAGGGUAAAAAUGGAUUAGAUGGGUAAAAUGGAUUAGAUGGGUAAGAUGGUUUGAAGGGUCAGAAGGGUAAAAAUGGAUUAGAUGGGUCAAAUGGAUUAGAUGGGUAAGAUGGUUUGAAGGGUAAGAUGGUUAGAAGGGUUAGAUGGGUUAGAUGGUCAGAAGGGUAAAAUGGUUAGAAUGGUAAAAUGGAUUAGAUGGGUUAGAAGGGUAAAUUGGUUAGAAGGCUAAAGUGAUUAGAAAGGUAAAAUGGGUUAAAAGGGUUAGAUGGAUUAGAAGGGUAAGAUGGUUAGAAGGGUAAAAUGGUUAGAUGGGUAAAAUGGAUUAGAUGGUCAGAAGGGUAAAAUUGUCAGAAGGGUAAAAUGGGUUAGAAGGAUUAGAUGGGUUAGAAGGGUAAAAUGGGUUAGGUGGAUUAGAAGGGUUAGAAUGGUCAGAUGGGUUAGAAGGUUUAGAUGGAUUAGAAGGGUUAGAAGUGUAAGGUGGGUAAGAUGGUUAGAAGGGUAAGAUGGUUAGAAGGGUAACAUGGAUCAGAUGGGUUAGAAGGGUAAAAUGGUUAGAAGGAUAAAAUGGAUUAGAUGGGUUAGAUGGUUAGAAGGGUAAGAUGGUUAGAAGGGUAAAUGGAUUAGAUGGGUAAAAUGGAUUAGAUGGGUAAAAUGGUUUGAAGGGUAAGAUGGUUAGAAGGGUCCGAUGGUUAGAAGGGUUAGAUGGGUAAGAUGGUUAGAAGGGUCAGAUGGGUAAGAUGGUUAGAAGGGUCAGAUGGGUCCGAUGGUUAGAAGGGUCAGAUGGGUAAGAUGGUUAGAAGGGUCAGAUGGGUAAGAUGGUUAGAAGGGUAAAAAUGGAUUAGAUGGGUAAGAUGGUUUGAAGGGUCAGAUGGUUAGAAGGGUAAAAAUGGAUUAGAUGGGUAAGAUGGUUUGAAGGGUCAGAUGGUUAGAAGGGUAAAAAUGGAUUAGAUGGGUAAGAUGGUUUGAAGGGUCAGAUGGUUAGAAUGGUAAAAAUUGAUUAGAUGGGUAAGAUGGUUAGAUGGGUAAGAUGGUUAGAAGGGUCAGAUGGGUAAGAUGGUUAGAAGGGUCCGAUGGUUAGAAGGGUCAGAUGGGUAAAAAUGGAUUAGAUGGGUAAAAUGGAUUAGAUGGGUAAGAUGGUUUGAAGGGUCAGAUGGUUAGAAGGGUAAAAAUGGAUUAGAUGGGUCAAAUGGAUUAGAAGGGUAAAUGGAUUAGAUGGGUAAAAUGGAUUAGAUGGGUAAAAUGGUUUGAAGAGUAAGAUGGUUAGAAGGGUUAGAUGGGUAAGAUGGUUAGAAGGGUCAGAUGGGUAAGAUGGUUAGAAGGGUCCGAUGGUUAGAAGGGUUAGAUGGGUAAGAUGGUUAGAAGGGUCAGAUGGGUAAGAUGGCUAGAAGGGUAAAAAUUGAUUAUAUGGGUAAGAUGGUUUGAAGGGUCAGAUGGUUAGAAGGGUAAAAAUGGAUUAGAUGGGUAAGAUGGUUUGAAGGGUCAGAUGGUUAGAAUGGUAAAAAUGGAUUAGAUGGGUAAGAUGGUUAGAUGGGUAAGAUGGUUAGAAGGGUCAGAUGGUUAAAAUGGUUAGAAGGGUCAGAUGGUUAGAAGGGUAAAAAUGGAUUAGAUGGGUAAAAUGGAUUAGAUGGGUAAGAUGGUUUGAAGGGUAAGAUGGUUAGAAGGGUCCGAUGGUUAGAAGGGUUAGAUGGGUAAGAUGAUUAGAAGGGUCUGAUGGUUAGCAGGGUUAGAUGGGUUAGAUGGAUUAGAUGGUUAGGAGGGUUAGAAGGGUAAGAUGGUUAGAAGGGUAAAAAUGGAUUAGAUGGGUUAGAAGGGUAAAAUGGUUAGAAGGGUAAAAUGGUUUGAAUGGUAAGAUGGGUUAGAUGGUCAGAAGUGUAAAAUGGUUAGAAUGGUAAAAUGGGUUAGAAAUGUAAAUUGGAUUAGAUGGGUUAGCUGGUUAGGAGGGUUAGAAGGGUAAGAUGGUUAGAAGGGUAAAAUGGUUAGAAGGGUAAAAUGGUUAGAAGGGUAAAAUGGUUAGAAGGGUAAGAUGGUUAGAAGGGUAAAAUGGUUAGAAUGGUAAAAUGGUUAGAAGGGUAAGAUGGUUAGAAGGGUAAAAUGGUUAGAAUGGUAAAAUGGAUUAGAUGAGUUAGAAGGGUCAAAUGGGUUAGAUGGAUAGAAGGGUAAGAUGGUUAAAAUGGUUAGAAUGGUAAAAUGGUGGAUUAGAAGGGUUAGAAUGGUCAGAUGGGUUAGAAGGUUUAGAUGGAUUAGAAGGGUUAGAAGUGUAAGGUGGGUAAGAUGGUUAGAAGGGUAAGAUGGUUAGAAGGGUAAAAUGGAUCAGAUGGGUUAGAAGGGUAAAAUGGUUAGAAGGAUAAAAUGGAUUAGAUGGGUUAGAUGGUUAGAAGGGUAAGAUGGUUAGAAGGGUAAAUGGAUUAGAUGGGUAAAAUGGAUUAGAUGGGUAAAAUGGUUUGAAGGGUAAGAUGGUUAGAAGGGUCCGAUGGUGAGAAGGGUUAGAUGGGUAAGAUGGUUAGAAGGGUCAGAUGGGUAAGAUGGUUAGAAGGGUCCGAUGGUUAGAAGGGUCAGAUGGGUAAGAUGGUUAGAAGGGUCAGAUGGGUAAGAUGGUUAGAAGGGUAAAAAUGGAUUAGAUGGGUAAGAUGGUUUGAAGGGUCAGAUGGUUAGAAGGGUAAAAAUGGAUUAGAUGGGUAAGAUGGUUUGAAGGGUCAGAUGGUUAGAAGGGUAAAAAUGGAUUAGAUGGGUAAGAUGGUUUGAAGGGUCAGAUGGUUAGAAUGGUAAAAAUGGAUUAGAUGGGUAAGAUGGUUAGAUGGGUAAGAUGGUUAGAAGGGUCAGAUGGGUAAGAUGGUUAGAAGGGUCCGAUGGUUAGAAGGGUUAGAUGGGUAAGAUGAUUAGAAGGGUCUGAUGGUUAGCAGGGUUAGAUGGGUUAGAUGGAUUAGAUGGUUAGGAGGGUUAGAAGGGUAAGAUGGUUAGAAGGGUAAAAAUGGAUUAGAUGGGUUAGAAGGGUAAAAUGGUUAGAAGGGUAAAAUGGUUUGAAUGGUAAGAUGGGUUAGAUGGUCAGAAGUGUAAAAUGGUUAGAAUGGUAAAAUGGGUUAGAAAUGUAAAUUGGAUUAGAUGGGUUAGCUGGUUAGGAGGGUUAGAAGGGUAAGAUGGUUAGAAGGGUAAAAUGGUUAGAAGGGUAAAAUGGUUAGAAGGGUAAAAUGGUUAGAAGGGUAAGAUGGUUAGAAGGGUAAAAUGGUUAGAAUGGUAAAAUGGUUAGAAGGGUAAGAUGGUUAGAAGGGUAAAAUGGUUAGAAUGGUAAAAUGGAUUAGAUUAGUUAGAAGGGUCAAAUGGGUUAGAUGGAUAGAAGGGUAAGAUGGUUAAAAUGGUUAGAAUGGUAAAAUGGUGGAUUAGAAGGGUUAGAAUGGUCAGAUGGGUUAGAAGGUUUAGAUGGAUUAGAAGGGUUAGAAGUGUAAGGUGGGUAAGAUGGUUAGAAGGGUAAGAUGGUUAGAAGGGUAAAAUGGAUCAGAUGGGUUAGAAGGGUAAAAUGGUUAGAAGGAUAAAAUGGAUUAGAUGGGUUAGAUGGUUAGAAGGGUAAGAUGGUUAGAAGGGUAAAUGGAUUAGAUGGGUAAAAUGGAUUAGAUGGGUAAAAUGGUUUGAAGGGUAAGAUGGUUAGAAGGGUCCGAUGGUGAGAAGGGUUAGAUGGGUAAGAUGGUUAGAAGGGUCAGAUGGGUAAGAUGGUUAGAAGGGUCCGAUGGUUAGAAGGGUCAGAUGGGUAAGAUGGUUAGAAGGGUCAGAUGGGUAAGAUGGUUAGAAGGGUAAAAAUGGAUUAGAUGGGUAAGAUGGUUUGAAGGGUCAGAUGGUUAGAAGGGUAAAAAUGGAUUAGAUGGGUAAGAUGGUUUGAAGGGUCAGAUGGUUAGAAGGGUAAAAAUGGAUUAGAUGGGUAAGAUGGUUUGAAGGGUCAGAUGGUUAGAAUGGUAAAAAUGGAUUAGAUGGGUAAGAUGGUUAGAUGGGUAAGAUGGUUAGAAGGGUCAGAUGGGUAAGAUGGUUAGAAGGGUCCGAUGGUUAGAAGGGUCAGAUGGGUAAAAAUGGAUUAGAUGGGUAAAAUGGAUUAGAUGGGUAAGAUGGUUUGAAGGGU